CCUACGGGUGGCAGCAGUGAGGAAUAUUGGUCAAUGGACGAGAGUCUGAACCAGCCAAGUAGCGUGAAGGAUGACUGCCCUAUGGGUUGUAAACUUCUUUUAUAUGGGAAUAAACUGUUCCACGUGUGGGAUUUUGUAUGUACCAUAUGAAUAAGGAUCGGCUAACUCCGUGCCAGCAGCCGCGGUAAUACGGAGGAUACGAGCGUUAUCCGGAUUUAUUGGGUUUAAAGGGUGCGUAGGUGGAUUGUUAAGUCAGUUGUGAAAGUUCGCGGCUCAACCGUAAAAUUGCAGUUGAAACUGGCAGUCUGGAGUACAGUAGAGGUGGGGGGAAGGCGUGGUGUAGCGGUGAAAUGCUUAGAUAUCACGAAGAACUCCGAGUGCGAAGGCAGCUCACUGGACUGCAACUGACACUGAGGCUCGAAAGUGUGGGUAUCAAACAGGAUUAGAUACCCCAGUAGUC
rnacentral:rRNA from 1 species